rnacentral:lncRNA from 1 species
CUGCCCAAAAAGCCGUCAGGAUGACGCAGCGAGUGACUGUCUCUUUCUGCGUCCUGGGUUGCCUGGUACCACACCUUUCCUUCUGCACCGCGGAGGUGGGGACCUGCCCAACAGCCAGGAGGCUCUGCAAAAGCUCUCUGACGUCACCCUGGUACCUGUGUCCUGCUCGGAACUGGAGAAGGUUGGAGCUGGCCUCAGCUCCCUCUGCCUGGUGCUCAGCACACGCCCCCACUGCUGAGGGCUGGGUUUGGGGCUCCAAUUAGCUAGGAAUAGAGCCGUCUAGGGAGUAGAAUCAGGUAAUAGAGGCUGGGUAGUCGUGGGAGAUGCCCCAGGAUAGGGAAGGACUUAGUAUGGGACAAAGACUAGGAGCCAGUGGGUGAGUCUUCUCUGUCAAAACCAAUAAAAUAAAAUUGGCCUUUUAGAU